GACGAACGCUGGCGGCGUGCUUAACACAUGCAAGUCGAACGGAAAGGCCCUGCUUUUGUGGGGUGCUCGAGUGGCGAACGGGUGAGUAACACGUGAGUAACCUGCCCUUGACUUUUGGAUAACUUCAGGAAACUGGGGCUAAUACCGGAUAGGAGCUCCUGCUGCAUGGUGGGGGUUGGAAAGUUUCGGCGGUUGGGGAUGGACUCGCGGCUUAUCAGCUUGUUGGUGGGGUAGUGGCUUACCAAGGCUUUGACGGGUAGCCGGCCUGAGAGGGUGACCGGCCACAUUGGGACUGAGAUAAGGCCCAGACUCCUACGGGAGGCAGCAGUGGGGAAUAUUGCACAAUGGGCGGAAGCCUGAUGCAGCAACGCCGCGUGCGGGAUGACGGCCUUCGGGUUGUAAACCGCUUUCGCCUGUGACGAAGCGUGAGUGACGGUAAUGGGUAAAGAAGCACCGGCUAACUACGUG
rnacentral:rRNA from 1 species